UACGUAGGGGGCUAGCGUUGUCCGGAAUCAUUGGGCGUAAAGAGCGUGUAGGCGGCCCGGUAAGUCCGCUGUGAAAGUCGGGGGCUCAACCCUCGAAUGCCGGUGGAUACUGUCGGGCUAGAGUGCGGAAGAGGCGAGUGGAAUUCCUGGUGUAGCGGUGGAAUGCGCAGAUAUCAGGAGGAACACCUAUGGCGAAGGCAGCUCGCUGGGACGGUACUGACGCUGAGGUGCGAAAGCGUGGGGAGCGAACAGG
rnacentral:rRNA from 1 species